AAGAGGAGUGUCCUCGCAGUGA
rnacentral:miRNA from 1 species